rnacentral:tRNA from 1 species
GCUUCUAUGGUGUAGAGGUUAGCAUCUGGGAUUUUGAUAACUAUAUUAGAAUCUUCCCGAGACCCCGGUUCGAACCCGGGUAGGAGCU